GCCUGGGUAGCUCAGUUGGUUAAGCGUCUGACUUCAACUCAGGUCAUGAUCUCAGGGCUCAGGAUUGAGCCCUGAGUCAGGCU
rnacentral:tRNA from 1 species